AGUGAACGCUGGCGGCAGGCCUAACACAUGCAAGUCGAACGGCAGCACAAGAGAGCUUGCUCUCUGGGUGGCGAGUGGCGGACGGGUGAGGAAUGCAUCGGAAUCUGCCCAUUUGUGGGGGAUAACCUCGGGAAACCGGGACUAAUACCGCAUACGACCUACGGGUGAAAGCAGGGGAUCUUCGGACCUUGCGCAGAUGGAUGAGCCGAUGCCGGAUUAGCUAGUUGGAGGGGUAAAGGCCCACCAAGGCGACGAUCCGUAGCUGGUCUGAGAGGAUGAUCAGCCGCACUGGGACUGAGACACGGCCCAGACUCCUACGGGAGGCAGCAGUGGGGAAUAUUGGGCAAUGGGCGCAAGCCUGAUCCAGCCAUGCCGCGUGUGUGAAGAAGGCCUUCGGGUUGUAAAGCACUUUUGUUGGGAAAGAAAAGCAGCCGGUUAAUACCCGGUUGUCAUGACGGUACCCAAAGAAUAAGCACCGGCUAACUUCGUG
rnacentral:rRNA from 1 species